AGUGAACGCUGGCGGUAGGCCUAACACAUGCCAGUCGAACGGCAGCACAGUAAGAGCUUGCUCUUACGGGUGGCGAGUGGCGGACGGGUGAGGAAUACAUCGGAAUCUACUUUUUCGUGGGGGAUAACGUAGGGAAACUUACGCUAAUACCGCAUACGACCUACGGGUGAAAGCAGGGGAUCUUCGGACCUUGCGCGAUUGAAUGAGCCGAUGUCGGAUUAGCUAGUUGGCGGGGUAAAGGCCCACCAAGGCGACGAUCCGUAGCUGGUCUGAGAGGAUGAUCAGCCACACUGGAACUGAGACACGAUCCAGACUCCUACGGGAGGCAGCAGUGGGGAAUGUUGGACAAUGGGCGCAAGCCUGAUCCAGCCAUACCGCGUGGGUGAAGAAGGCCUUCGGGUUGUAAAGCCCUUUUGUUGGGAAAGAAAAGCAGCAGGUUAAUACCCCGCUGUUCUGACGGUACCCAAAGAAUAAGCACCGGCUAACUUCGUG
rnacentral:rRNA from 1 species